GAUGAACGCUGGCGGCGUGCCUAAUACAUGCAAGUCGAGCGAACGGACGAGAAGCUUGCUUCUCUGAUGUUAGCGGCGGACGGGUGAGUAACACGUGGAUAACCUACCUAUAAGACUGGGAUAACUUCGGGAAACCGGAGCUAAUACCGGAUAAUAUUUUGAACCGCAUGGUUCAAAAGUGAAAGACGGUCUUGCUGUCACUUAUAGAUGGAUCCGCGCUGCAUUAGCUAGUUGGUAAGGUAACGGCUUACCAAGGCAACGAUGCAUAGCCGACCUGAGAGGGUGAUCGGCCACACUGGACCGGGGACACGGUCCAGACUCCUACGGGAGGCAGCAGUAGGGAAUCUUCCGCAAUGGGCGAAAGCCUGACGGAGCAACGCCGCGUGAGUGAUGAAGGUCUUCGGAUCGUAAAGCUCUGUUUUUAGGGAAGAACAGAUGUGGAAUUAACUGUGGACAUCUUGACGGUACCUAAUCAGAAAGCCACGGCUAACUACGUG
rnacentral:rRNA from 1 species